ensembl:lncRNA
CGUUGAACGUACCUAGUUUAUAGGUUAACGAGUUCAAUAAGUUACUGGCUGAACACGAACAAACAUUACUCGGGAACUAUGAUUUUUUUUUCUUCCCUAGGCAUUUGAAGGGAUAGUGAUCAGAGUUCGCAAAUGUGGCAGCCGUGGGAACCGAUAUUGCACAGAACUAUGGAGUCACUGAAGAGCUUCAAACUGCCUCCUUUGGCCUUCCCAUGGGUGGAUCUCUGCUUACCUCAGAAGUACUUCAACUGACAGGUCUGCUUCAUUUGAUGAACUUCAGUUCCAGGUUUUCCCUUUUUAUUGGACCUCCUGCCAUGCAGUGGCCCCACUGCAUCGGUGAGAUGCAGUCUGCUCACGUGGGCUCACAGCUGCCUCCAAGGUGCUGCUCACAGCAACAGGAGCCUCGGAGUGGGCAAAGACGGUUCUUUUGGACAGUCUUACAGGUAUUUGGAAGCAGACACUUCCUUUUGUUUUCANGGUCACAGUUUGGAAUGAUUUAUUCCCUAAAGAAUAUUUAAGACAGAAGUGAAUUAUGCAGGUGGUCUGAAUGCCUUCUUUAAUAAUUUGUAUCAUUAACUCUAAUUAAGCUUUCUAUUCUGUGGGACAACUACUUCAGUCUGAUUCUCCUCCAUUUGUGUAGUCAGGCUGUUCUUAUACCCUUGUAGGGGCUCUUAAGGGAGUGAAGAUUCUGUUAAUGCAUUUUUGGAACCUCUUCAUUCUUUUUUUUCAGUUAUAUGUUAUAAUGUUGUAUAUUUCUUGUCUCAGGACUACCUGGACUAGAAAAGGGGAAAAGCCCUCUUUCAGGGCUAUGGAACACCAUUUUUUCUCCCUGACGUUCCCUGGCAGCACGUGAGAAACUAAUUUAGACAUGCAUUUUUGGGCAGGUACAGACACUUGAAAACGCACUGUGAAUGUGAGGUAUCGUAAAGUCCUUUAUCAAAUGGAACCAUUAAUGCCACAUGCAUACGUGUGUAAUAUGCGACUAAGACUGAAAUGAGAAGAUGUGAACAGAGUAAUACCAACAUGUCAAUGACAGGCAGCUGCAAACAGCAUGAAAGCCAAGUAAAUGUAAAUGUUCCAGUGCGUAUUUUAUUUCUGAUAAGCAUACAGUAUAUUUAAAAUUACUGCUUGCCACCACAUCAUAAACUACGAUGAUAAUCAUUGGUCCAACACUCAUACAAAUGAUCUUUUUUAGUUAUUUGGCUGCACACAGGAAAUAUUUGCUAUGCCAGCAUGUCAGAAACUCUAAGCCUUGAUUUUCAGAUUAAAUUUUGUUGUAUGCAUGAAUGGAUCAAAAGGAUCUUUGCAAUAUUGGUAUGGUUGUCUUUUACACAAAAACUGACAACUACAUUGAAUAGUGUGUGCUCGUUUCCAGCUCGGCAGGGAACUGCUGAAUUUGAAUGGAAAUGAAUUAAGUAAUCUGAGUCUGGACAAUAGACAUCCGUCAAGCUGAGUCUAGGAUGUGAAAGCAUGACUUGAAGGCAGGGACUUCUGCUGGGUUUUGUCAUAUUCAAUUCUGUUUAGGCUCUUCAGCUAUCUAAUCCUGCAUCCUAUUCAUUAUGUCCCAUGAACAGCUGCUUCUGAGGAGUGUGCAAGGCAUCCUGUGAUAGGUCGUUAGUAGGGGAAAGUGAACAUAGUGAACUAAUAUAGAGACUAAGCAAAAAAAACAUUUUCAGGUACUAACCAAGGCUCCCCAUCACAAUUAGCAUCAGGAUAAAACUGAAUUUAUGCAUCCAGCUGCACCUCAGACAGGGGAUGUUUGACCUGAGUCUGAGCUUUGUGAUCCAAAUACACUUUUAGUGAAAACUGCUCUGAGGUAGAAAUUCACUGCAUUCAAUUCCAGAGAUGAAUUCAGCCUCAACUCUGACCACAGUAUCUUCUGCAGUGUUUUUAAUUAGCUACAAACAUCUUGUCAGGUUGUGUUUGUUAAUGUUACAGAGUACCUUUUAACACAGGUUUAUCUUUUUAAAGUAUAAAAUUUAUAAUGCCUACCAUCUAUGAAGUAUAUUAAUGAUGUGUGCAGUAUGAAUUUGCUUAAUUGAGGGAGGAAGAAAGGCCAUUUAAAUUAAGGAUGUACAAUCAGGGCCAUGUAAACGUUACACCUGUUUUAUAGCACUCACUUCUGUCCUGGAACUUUGUAUAUUAUAUUCUGAGCCAGACCACAUUUUUUUACAGUUUCAUUUAUAAAGCAAGGGCAAAAUAUCUAUCAUUUGUGUAAGCAUGGCAAAGGAGCAUGUGUUCCCAGAGCCCCGGGAGGAUUUCUGUCUUUAAAAAAGUGCUUACUUUAAAGUUGGUUAAAACACAAAACAAAUAUUGAAAAACAUCAGUUUCCUUAACUUCACCAAAAAUAAUAGGAACCUGAAACUGAAUUAGGCUUUCUGCAUCCUGAAUUGGAAGAUAAUUCAUGAAACUGAUUUUAAAAGCAAUACAGUAU